CAGCAACAACCAGCCGCACCGCCGUGCCCUAACCUCCACCCAGACCAGCCCCUCUCGCUCUCCCUGAUCGUGGCCGAGCAGCAGCGGCACCACCGCCGCGCCCUGCCUCCCUCCACCUCUCGACUCUACACCACAGCAAGGAUAGAAUGUGAAGGAAGAUGGAAGAGACUCAAGCAAAGAUUACCUUGAAUGCUAGCAGAAAAUGAGUGACUGAAGGUUCUUGCUUUCCUUGUGGAGUUUGCAGUGUAGAAUGGUGAAGGAAGUUGCUAGCUGAUUUGGUUUAAAGGAGAAGAUUGGCAGCUACCUCUCCUAUGACAAGCAAGAAGGAGGGACUGCAGGUGGAGUGUAGGGUGGCUGAGUUGACAAGCUAUUGUACUAUGAGCUUGACUUUGCUUGAAAGGGUGGCUGAGUUGACAAGCUAUUGUACUAUGAGCUUGACUUUGCUUGAAAGGAAAAAGGGAGCUGCAGGGUAAGGGUGGCAGCGGAUGAAGGAAGAUUUGGGGAUGCCUUUUGUACUAACACAUGUGUGUAUGUGUAUGUAUGAAUAAGUAUAUACUAGUGCGCAAUCCGUCGAAAUUCGACGGAAAAUUAUUUUAACUUAUUAUAUAAACUAUUUUUAAAUUUAUUUAAUUUAAGAUAAUAUAGUUGAAAUUAUAUUAA